GGCGGCUGCCCGUGGCAAGAAGCAAGGAUCUCCGGCGAGAAGGCAGCAUCAGGAACGGAGAGAGGAGAAGAGCGAUGGAGGUUGGGAGGCGGUUGGCCACAAGAAGCAACACAGCAGAAGGGCACAAGAGGUACCUGCUGAGAAUUGGUCUGCAUAUAAACGGCCUCCUAGUGAGCAAAAUUACAUGGAUCAUGUUCGUCAUGGCAUCAACCUAGAACCCACUAGAGACGAGCUCUCUAACUUCUUAGAAGCCUGCGGCAGGCUAUGGGAACUGGAUUCAAACCGCUUGGUUCCUGGAAAGGACUAUGAGAUAGACUGCGGUGAAGGAACAAAAGUCUACCGGAAAGAGGAUAUGGUAUCAGGAAGCUUAUUUAGGCGGG
rnacentral:misc_RNA from 1 species